rnacentral:tmRNA from 1 species
GGGGACGUUACGGAUUCGACAGGGAUGGUUCAAGCUUGAGCUGCGCGUCGGAGGUCUCGGCUCCGUCAUCAACGGAAGUUAUAUAAUAACUGGCAAACAACAAAAUUUAGCAUACGCAGCGUAAGCUCGUAAGCGCUCUGCCUCUCUAUCGCCCAUGUAGAGAACGUGGGGCCCAACUUUAGUGGGAUACGGUCGGUGGUGCCGCUUGAGUCACCGUCAAGAGAUUUCCAAGCUAGUGUCACUGACGCCUGUUUGUCGGCAUACGUGCGCACGAAUUGCGAAUAGGCAAACUACACGCGUAGAAGUUUAAGUAUUGGAGUUUCUGGACGCGGGUUCGACUCCCGCCGUCUCCAUAA